GAUGAACGCUGGCGGCGUGCCUAAUACAUGCAAGUCGAGCGAACAGACGAGGAGCUUGCUCCUUUGACGUUAGCGGCGGACGGGUGAGUAACACGUAGGUAACCUACCUAUAAGACUGGGAUAACUUCGGGAAACCGGAGCUAAUACCGGAUAAUAUUUCGAACCGCAUGGUUCGAUAGUGAAAGAUGGCUUUGCUAUCACUUAUAGAUGGACCUGCGCCGUAUUAGCUAGUUGGUAAGGUAACGGCUUACCAAGGCAACGAUACGUAGCCGACCUGAGAGGGUGAUCGGCCACACUGGAACUGAGACACGGUCCAGACUCCUACGGGAGGCAGCAGUAGGGAAUCUUCCGCAAUGGGCGAAAGCCUGACGGAGCAACGCCGCGUGAGUGAUGAAGGUCUUCGGAUCGUAAAACUCUGUUAUUAGGGAAGAACAAACGUGUAAGUAGCUGUGCACGUCUUGACGGUACCUAACCAGAAAGCCACGGCUAACUACGUG
rnacentral:rRNA from 1 species